AUGUGCGUGGAGGGAUUCGAGGACGCGCAGAUCGAGAGGCCGGCAGAUUUCGCGAUGGAGAGAGUCUGUGAGAACACAGUGUCCAUUGAUUUCAAGCAAGCCAAGAUGGUGACUGCGAUGGGAGAAAGUUGGCACAAUUUUGUUCCAGCUAUCCGCUCAGGGGAUUGGUCUGACAUUGGUGGCCGUGAUUACAUGGAAGAUGCGCAUGUGUGCAUCCCCAACCUAGCCAAGAAUUUUGGUUACAACAUGGUGGAUGAUGAAGUUAUUUCCUUCUAUGGGGUAUUUGAUGGACAUGGUGGAAAAGAUGCCGCACAGUAUGUUCGCGACAACUUGCCGCGGGUCAUCGUGGAAGAUGCUGCUUUUCCUCUUGAGCUUGAGAAGGCAGUCAGGAGGUCGUUUAUGCAAACUGACAGUCAGUUUGCAGAGAAGUGCUCUCUCCAGGAUGGGCUUUCUUCUGGAACAACUGCACUUACAGCAAUGAUUUUUGGAAGGACUCUUCUGGUCGCAAAUGCUGGUGAUUGCCGGGCAGUCCUUUCCCGGCGCGGCGCCACAAUCGAAAUGUCCAAGGACCACAGAACCUGCUGCCUGAACGAAAGAAAGCGUGUGGAAUCUCUAGGCGGCUACGUCGACGACGGCUAUCUGAACGGCCAGCUAGCGGUGACCAGAGCGCUCGGGGACUGGCACCUCGACGGCCUCAAGGAGAUGGGCAAGCCGGGAGGCCCGCUGAGCGCCGAGCCGGAGCUCAAGAUGAUCACGCUGACCAAGGACGACGAGUUCCUCAUCAUCGGCAGCGACGGCAUCUGGGACUACUUCUCCAACCAGAACUCGGUGGACUUUGCGCGGCGGAGGCUCCAGGAGCACAACGACCUCCGGCGGUGCUGCAAGGAGAUCGUGGAGGAGGCGAUCAGGCGGGGCGCCACCGACAACCUGACGGCGGUCAUGGUCUCGUUCCACCAGGAGGCCCCUCCCCAGAUCAGGGUGAACAGGGCGGGCAGGGUCGAGCGGAGCAUCUCGGCCGAGGGGCUCCAUAGCCUCAGGGUGCUCCUGGAAGGCCAGUGA
rnacentral:rRNA from 1 species